rnacentral:lncRNA from 1 species
GAUGCAUUUGUUAUACAAAGAUCUGUUAGAGAUACCCUAGCUGGAGUUUUCUGGUAGCAAGACUAGCUAUGCUGGUAGUAAACUGCUAGUUUUGCUUCAGCUUGGAUUUAGUUGUUUGCUCACCAGUGACUGAGUGGCUCACCUGGUUGGAGGACCAAGCUACCAGCCAUAGGCAGGAGUGGGUGGUGAAGAGAUCAGAAUGAUACAUGAGCCCUGGAGUAACGUGUACAAAUGCAUGGGCCAUGGGUCUGCUGUUAUGCAGAUGGGCACAGUUCAGUAAACGUGGCAAGGCAACAUAGCAAUUCUGUAACAUGAUGCACCUCUUCCUUCUCUUAUAGCCUAGGCAGUGAGUUGGACCACCCACGAUUUGUCUGUGAUACUGUAUUUUAUAAACUUCUCAUAGAUUGGCUACAUUCAUCAUAGUGCCUUCCAGGAACUGCUUUUUACAGAGAAAAAUGGCUAGCUGUCGAAGAGUCUAGCCAAGGGAUGAUGCUUGCUGUUAACGAGAGGCAAAGUGUAACCAACGGAGGAUACAAGUCCCAGGAGGCUAAGCCCGAUUUCAACCUCAUGCUCCGGUGUGCAAAGAAGCCUGGCUCCAGUGACAUGCUCAAAAGAUGACAUUUCCUUGUGGUAGACUUACAAGCAGAAUCCAAAUUUCUGCUUUACAUAUUCAGCUGUGGCCCUAGUCCAGCUGUCCCUAAAACACUUUGGGAUGUACUAAAGCUAUUUUUACACAAAUAAGAGUCUCCUCAUUGACAGAGGAGUUCAGCAAAUGGCUUUGGAAUGUUACCUGCAGAGCAUUUUUAGCAAAGAAAAAGGAAUCCAAUGCCAUAGCAGUUUCAGAAAACAAUACAUAAAGCUGGUAAUUGCAGCUCUUUAAAAAUGCUGAAAGCUGCAUAACGUUUAAAGGCCCAAGCCCAAUGCUUUUACCUACAUUAAAGGGCGUAGUGCCACUAUAUUCAGGGGAGUUCCUGCAUUAGUCUAGGGACAACUUAAGAUUUCACAGUUGUGCGCACGCUUGAAUCCUGACAAGACUGUGGCUUUGAGGAGUAAGGUGCUAUGUAACACAAAUAAGACUUAACAGUUCAUAUCAGAUAAUGAAAGCAGCAAAAACGCUUGAGACAAACAAAAUUCUAUCAAAUAAUGCCAAUAUUAGGACCUGUGGGAGCAGUGACCACAAAGAUUAAAUGAAACAUUUGUUAAGAGAAACAAAAA